GACGGAAGGUGCAAGCGUUGCUCGGAAUCACUGGGCGUAAAGGGUGCGUAGGCGGCUUGGUAAGUCUGGUGUGAAAGCCCCGGGCUCAGCCCGGGAAGGGCACUAGAAACUGCCAAGCUCGAGUGCCGGAGGGGAGAGUGGAAUUCCUGGUGUAGCGGUGAAAUGCGUAGAUAUCAGGAGGAAUACCGGUGGCGAAAGCGACUCUCUGGACGGCAACUGACGCUGAGGCACGAAAGCGUGGGGAGCAAACAGG
rnacentral:rRNA from 1 species